CCUACGGGAGGCAGCAGUCGAGAAUAUUUCACAAUGGGGGAAACCCUGAUCGUGCGAAGCCGCGUGAGGGAAUGCUGGCCUUCGGAUUGUAAACCCCUGUUAUGAGGGAGCAAAUUAAAAAGCUAGUACCACAAGAGGUAGAGACGGCUAAAUAUGUGCCAGCAGCCGCGGUAAUACAGAGGUCUCUAGUGUUGUUCGGAAUCACUGGGCGUAAAGGGUGCGUGGGUAGUGUCGUAAGUCGUGUGUGAAAGGCGCGGGCGCAACCCGCGGACGGCACAUGAUACUGGGAGACUAGAGUAGGGGAGAGGUAAGCGGAAUGCGCGGUGUAGCGGUGAAAUGCGUAGAUAUCGAGAAGAACACGCGUGGCGAAGGCGGGUUCCUGGACAUUAACUGACGCUGAGGCACGAAGGCCAGGGUAGCGAAAAGGAUUAGAUACCCUUGUAGUG
rnacentral:rRNA from 1 species